rnacentral:piRNA from 1 species
UGGGAGAAAAGCCAAGCAAGUGCUGAAC